rnacentral:lncRNA from 1 species
UCGUGAGUUCAUCACCCCUUGCUUUAAUUUUCUCUGCUACAUGUAUUAUCUAUACGUUAAAAUCACGAUUAAUUGUGACAUGAAAAUUUUGACAUUUGCAUACAUUUAUUUUUUGGAUGUAUGAGGGUGUCAAAUUGAGUUGAUUUUUUGGAUGUUGAAAUUUUGUGAACAAGAGAAAUUCGGGACCAGAGGUUCAGUGAGAAGGAAAACAUGGUGAUUAUUACAGUGGUGUGUUGUAGCCCCGAGAAAAUCAGGGACAAGCUUUGCUACAAAGGUGGAGGCUCUAUCAAGAGCAUUGAGAUACUGGACCCGCCCAAGCCCAAGCCCGCUGAGCCUGAGAAGAAGAAGGAGGCCGACAAGCCCAAGCCCGAACCCGAGAAAAAGAAAGACGCGGAGAAACCUAAAUCUGAUGCUCCCAAACAGGAAGCCGGUAAGAAAGACGGCGGGGAGAAGCCUAAGGCUGAGCCUGAGAAAAAGAAAGACGGGGAAAAGCCCAAAGCAGAGGCUCCGAAAAAGGAAGCUGAGAAGCCCAAGGAAAAGCCCGCGCCCCAGGCGGAGAUGCCCAAAGCCAAGCCCGCACCUGCUCCGUUACCCGUUCAGCCACAUAUAGCACCACCGAUGGCGGUUCCAGUUGGGAUGCUGUAUGCUCCUGCUCCCUGCUAUGAAGGCAGGCCCAUUGGGCCUUUCUUCGAAUACGGUGGGCCCAUGAAC